GGAGUUAGCCGGUGCUUCUUCUGUGAGUGAUGUCCUUCCUGCCGGCUAUUAACCCGCAGGCCUUAUUCCUCACUGAAAGUGCUUUACAACCCGAAGGCCUUCUUCACACACGCGGCAUGGCUGGAUCAGGGUUGCCCCCAUUGUCCAAUAUUCCCCACUGCUGCCUCCCGUAGGAGUCUGGGCCGUGUCUCAGUCCCAGUGUGGCUGAUCAUCCUCUCAGACCAGCUACGGAUCGUCGCCUUGGUGAGCCGUUACCUCACCAACCAGCUAAUCCGACAUAGGCUCAUCCGAUAGCGCGAGGCCCGAAGGUCCCCCGCUUUCCCCCGUAGGGCGUAUGCGGUAUUAGCCUGGGUUUCCCCAGGUUAUCCCCCACUACCGGGCAGAUUCCUAUGCAUUACUCACCCGUCCGCCGCUCGCCACCAGGGAGCAAGCUCCCCGUGCUGCCGCUCGACUUGCAUGUGUUAGGCCUGCCGCCAGCGUUCAAUCUGAGCCAGGAUCAAACUCUGA
rnacentral:rRNA from 1 species